AAUGAACGUUGGCGGCAUGGAUUAGGCAUGCAAGUCGAGCGAGAAGAGUUUUGAAGCUUGCUUUAGAACUCGGACAGCGGCGAAAGGGAGAGUAACGCGUAGUUAUGUGCCCUAGGGUCCGGAAUAGCCACGGGAAACUGUGGGUAAUGCCGGAUAAUAUCCCCGGAUCAAAGGUGUGAUUCCGCCCUAGGAGCAGACUGCGUCCUACUAGCUAGUUGGUGGGGUAAUGGCCCACCAAGGCAAUGAUGGGUAGCGGGUGUGAGAGCAUGACCCGUCUCACUGGGGCUGAGACACUACCCAGACACCUACGGGUGGCUGCAGUCGAGAAUCUUCGGCAAUGGGCGAAAGCCUGACCGAGCGAUGCCGCGUGCGGGAUGAAGGCCCUCGGGUUGUAAACCGCUGUCGUAGGGGAGGAAGGUUCCGUGAAGAGCGGGACUUGACCUAUCCUAGGAGGAAGUACGGGCUAAGUUCGUGCCAGCCGCCGCAGUAA
rnacentral:rRNA from 1 species